CCUACGGGAGGUAGCAGUGAGGAAUAUUGGUCAAUGGCCGGAAGGCUGAACCAGCCAUGCCGCGUGAAGGUCAGUGCCCUAUGGGCGUUAAACUUCUUUUGUGCGGGAGCAAUAAUGGUCACGUGUGGCCAGACGAGAGUACCGUAUGAAUAAGGAUCGACUAACUCCGUGCCAGCAGCCGCGGUAAAACGGAGGGUCCGAGCGUUAGCCGGAUUUAUUGGGUUUAAAGGGAGCGUAGGUGGGUUGUUAAGUCAGUUGUGAAAGUUUGCGGGUCAACCGUAAAAUUGCACUUGAUACUGGCAGGCUUGAGUACAGUUGAGGUAGGCGGAAUGCGUGGUGUAGCGGUGAAAUGCUUAGAUAUCACGAAGAACCCCGAUUGCGAAGGCAGCUUACUAAACUGUGACUGACAUUGAGGCUCGAAAGUGUGGGUAUCAAACAGGAUUAGAUACCCUUGUAGUC
rnacentral:rRNA from 1 species